UUUUCCAGGGUCUCUCGUUCU
rnacentral:piRNA from 1 species